rnacentral:rRNA from 1 species
AUUGAACGCUGGCGGCAGGCCUAACACAUGCAAGUCGAGCGGUAGAGAGAAGCUUGCUUCUCUUGAGAGCGGCGGACGGGUGAGUAAUGCCUAGGAAUCUGCCUGGUAGUGGGGGAUAACGCUCGGAAACGGACGCUAAUACCGCAUACGUCCUACGGGAGAAAGCAGGGGACCUUCGGGCCUUGCGCUAUCAGAUGAGCCUAGGUCGGAUUAGCUAGUUGGUGAGGUAAUGGCUCACCAAGGCGACGAUCCGUAACUGGUCUGAGAGGAUGAUCAGUCACACUGGAACUGAGACACGGUCCAGACUCCUACGGGAGGCAGCAGUGGGGAAUAUUGGACAAUGGGCGAAAGCCUGAUCCAGCCAUGCCGCGUGUGUGAAGAAGGUCUUCGGAUUGUAAAGC